GGGCGUAUGGUCUAGCGGUAUGACAUCUUCUUAGCAUUCAUCUGCUUUCCUGGAUGUAUCUAAGUUGGAGAAGGUUCCCGGUUCGACUCCGGGUUCGUCCA